GUCCACCCUGUGAGGACACAGGAAGAGGCGUCCUCAGGACCCCACCACGGUGGCACCCCCACUCGGACCUCCAGCCUCUGCUGUCUCAGCCACCCCCUCUGUGGCGUCCUGUCACAGCAGCCUAAGAUGACUGAGACAGUGGCCUCGCAGGGCUACGCACCCAGAGUCCAUGAUAAAUACACAAAAUACACAGUGUGUCUGCGGGUGAUGCGUGCAGAAGAGAAGAGCAAAGCCGAGAAGGAGAGAAGAGUGUGUCUGUGUGCACACAUGCGCUCUUGAGGUAGGAUCUGCGUCUCCUUUGUCUUCACUCCCCUCGGCUCCGCAAGCGCCUGGUUCGGGGCUGGCCCACACAAACCCGUGAUACCUGGUAAGUCACCUCACCAGCUCUCUGUCAGCCUAGAGCUGGAAGGGGCUGUGGAGAUGGCUCCUGGCAGUGAGGAACCUAUGAGGGCGAGACCAACACAGUGAGCAUCUGUGGAGCACCAGCUGCACCCCAGGCAUUGCGCCUGGGGCCUUAGAGACGCCUCACUUAAUCCUCCCAGGAGCCUGGGAAACCUCGUCACGCCCACACGACAGAAGAGGAACCGACGUCUGGUGGAAAUAGAGUAUUGUGACUGGGGUCACAGAGAGCAGGCUGCCUGCUCCAGCAUCCACCGGCUCCCAAGCCUGGAGGUGGCUCACCCAAGGGCACGUGGAUGGGCAGAGGGGCCCAGAGAUGGCCCAUUCGUUCAUUCGUUCAUUCAUUCCCCUAGACUAGGUGGCAGGUGCUGCACCCUGAGCCCAGAGGAGUGGCUAACCCAGAGGAAGGAGCGCAGUCUGAUCCCAGCUUCGAUUCUGCAUCUGUGAAGCGAAGGAUCAAACACCUCCCUGGGAAGCUGCUGUGGGAGCGGGACAGCGUGGGUCUGACCGCUUCCACGGCAUACCCGCAUGCUGCCUUCCUGGCCUGGCCUUUCCCUCCAGCCUGGGUGAAAGCCGUUCACCACCCCCUCCUGCCUUCUGAUAUCUUCAGGAGAGCCUUGGUGCACAGGGCCACGGCCCUCCCCACCCGACCCUGCAGGCUGGCGGGGGGCAGCACUGCUGUGGGAGCCUGGGCCGCCUGCUACUCGGGAAGAGGAGGCAGGCGGCCGCAGAAGCAAGGACAGACACAAGAAGCGGGGCCCCUGGGAGAGGCAAAGUUGAGAAGGCCCCAGGAUGGGGAACCAGGGCCCAGAGAGGCAUGCUCUGGCCCCGUCACCUACACACCCCAGACUCACCCUGGCAGCUGGGCCUCUGCUCAGGGCCAGACACAAGGUUAUACCUGAAAGGGCUUGGCAAAGAAAUGUGCUAUGUGGGACACCCUCCCUGUCCUGGAGGCCUGCUAUUUUGAGAUAGCCCAGUGUGGACAGCCACACCCAGUGUGGACGCAUUGUUGGGUGGGGUGCAUAGACGGCAGAGCCUGAGGUCUGAGUCGUGCAUCUCUGUGAAUGUUUGCGUUGUUCAUUUUCAUUCCCCAGGGCCUGCCAAGCCUGGCACGCAGCAGUGCUCGACAAACGUGUGCUGAGUGAAUGAACAAAUGGACGGAGGACUCUACUGCCGUGUGGUGGUGGGGUUACAGAUGAUUUUUUUUCUUUUUGCUUAUUUUUAAAUUUUUUUGCAAUAAUUAUAUAGAAUUUCUAAUAUGAGAAAGAAACCACAAUUAUUUCAAAACCUUGUCACUGCACAGCUGCUGUGACCACAAGGAAAUGAAGGGGCUUUUGACUGAAAGCAGCCCCACGACUCCCUUAGGGUCACAAUGAUUAAUGUGACAUCUACAUGUGGCCAAGAUGUGGACAGGGCCCGGAAAGAACCCAGAAGUCGGGAGCUGGGGGCGGGGCUUUUCUUCUUUCUCUCAUUUCCUCUCUGGUUAUCAUGCUGCUGGGGCAAUCAAAUUCAGGAAAAAAGACAGGGCAGGGGUGGGGCUGGCCACGGAGCUGUUGAGCUGUGGGGGUGCCAGGGGCAGGGGUCCAGAGCAGCUCGCCUCCCCUCUGGGAGCCUCAGUCUUCCCAUCUGUAAAAUGGGGUGUUGGCACAGACCUCUGGCCAUCAUGAGAAAUGACUGCUGCCAUCCCCAGGCUUGGCACCCACUGUGUUUGGCUGGCCUCAUUUCCUUCCCUUUUUUCUUGCCCUGCUGCUCUCGGGGUUAAGCAAGACUUCGCUGAGGUUGUUUACUGUCUGUAGGUUCACCCUGUGGCAGCUGGUACCCAGAGGGCCAGUUCCAGCAUCGGUGGAGCCGGCCUGAGGAGGAGGAGAGGAGUCUCAGGGUAGGUGAGGGUCCUUGGCCAAGAGCAGAGCUUGAUCCCUCAGCCCGGGGCCGGGUCUCAGCUCUGCCACUUAGCAGUGGGCACCACACCCCUCUUUAGAGUGGGCGCAGCAGGGCCACCUCUCAGGGCUUGUGGCAGGGAUCGCUCUUCUGAUGAGUGGCUGUGCCCAGCCCCUCCCUCCUGUGUGGGACCUACAGCUCUGCCUCCAGCCUCUGCCUCUGCUGCCCUGCCCUCUCGUCCCCAUCCCCUUUCUGGCAGGCCCUGAGUGAGCCCUGCGUGAAGCUGGGCCUCUGCUCUUUUCUCUCAAAGCCCAAAAUCAAAAAUCUUCAAUCAUGGUAGUGCCUGUUUUACUUCUCAGCAAUUUGGGAGUGAAGCGUAAAUACGAGGAAGAACUUUGGCGAAUUACUCUUCUAUACGUUAAUCUUCUACUCUGGGCCUGCUCUGUGCCCGACAUCUUACAAAUACGAUCUUGUUAUAACAUUGUCACUCAUCUCACAGAAGAGACUAAGUUUACCACAUGGUCACCAUAGUGUCUGGCCCUUACUAGAUUUCAAAAAGUAUUUAUUGGAUGGAUGGGUGGAUGAACAGGUGGAGUAUGGGUUGCUGGAUGAGUGGGUGGAUGAAUGAUAGCUAGAUGGAUGAUGGAUAGAUGGAAAGAAAGGCGGAUGGAUGGAUGAUGGAUGGGUGAUGGAGAGAUGAGCAGGUAGAGGGAUGGGUGGGUGGAUGGAUGGAUGGGUGGAUGGAUGGAUGACGGAUGGUGGGUAGAUGGAUGGAUAAAUGAGUGGGUGAAUGGGUGGAUAGAUAGAUGAGAGAAUGGAUGGAUGGAUGAAAGGACAGGAGGAUGGAAGGACGAUGCAUGGUGGAUAGAUGGAUGAUUGGAUGAGUGGGUAGAUGUAUAAUGGAUGGAUGGGGAUGGGUGAAUUGAUGGAUGGAGGGGUAGAUGAGUGGAUGGGUGAGCUUAAGUCUCAUACUCAGAGGAUGUCAACGGCAGAGCUGGCAAGGGUCCGAGUUAAAGUCCAGACCCUUCCUAUGUCUCCCCUGGGGUCUGUGCCUUCCUUCACUCACACCCAACAUCUCUGCAUCCCCUGAAUCUACAUGUCAGCAACUCCCACACUUAUAUCCCCAUCCUGAGCCUCCCCUGAGCCCCAGCACCUCUCUCGGGGGAAGUUCACCUUCUCCUUCCAGACAUUUCAGGGGCAGGGCCAGUUUUACUGACAUGCAACACGUGCAGUGGCACACGCCCGCACACAGAGGAGCCCCCAGGUGGGCCAGCAGUGUUAGGCCACUAUCAGCCUUCUGAAGGAGGAUCAUCUGCUUCUGGACCGCAGUUGACUAUGGGUAAGUAAAACCAUGAAGAGGGAAACCUCGGCUAAGCGGGGACCACUGUGCAAAUGACGAAGCACGAAUAGUGUAAUUCGGUGAGUCCGCAUGCAGGCUAGGGACUUUGCAUUUAAAACUGGCAUCGCACAAAAUAUACGUGAACAUCAAAAUUCAAAAUUUGUUUGUUUUGUUUUAUUAACGUUUAUUCAAAAUAUGAAUAAUAUAAAUUUUUAAUUUUUCUUUACUUAGAAUGACAUUAAAUAGCAAAUUAAAAACACUACAACAAGUCGAGAGGAAUGAAAGGGAUGGGAGGAGGCCCUGGGGCCCCGGACCCUGCGUUCAGGCACAGGCGUUGUGGCAGAAGGAUGCGGCCCAUCUCGGCCAUCACAUUAUCUCCUUGGCGCAGACCAGGGCAGGCGGCUCGGGCAUCGAUUUGCGCGUUCCUCCAUCCACUCACUCAGUAGCGUGUGCUGCCCACCAUCAGCCCUGGGACAGGACUCGGAGGAGGGCAAGGUGGAGAUGAAGGCCGGGAGGGCUCUGCAGGAGAGACAACAGCGUGGACUGAGCGCAGCAUCGCAAGAGCCUCACGUCACUAUUGCGGCCGGUGCAAGGAAUUUAUUCUAAGCAUGUCCAUACACACGUGUGUGAGAUGGCGGAGUUGAGGUCUAUGCAGGCUGAUCCACUGAGCAAAUAAACGAGAUCAGAUCAACAGAAAGGGCAGAACGGCAUGCUGGGUGGUCCUCAGAAGUGAGCAACGGGUAGGUACUGCCUCACGGCCCUGGGAGGUGAGCUAUGUUCCCGUCCAGGCAAGGGAGCAGGGCACUGGGUCUCAGUCUUAGGCUAUGGGCUGCUCCGGGAGAUGUGAAUUCGCAGCCACUUCUGAUUCUGUGUGUGUAGACAAAGCAGACUCUGGUAGCCCAAGGUCAGUUCUCCAAAUAAGAGCUUCCGUUGCCGGCCCUUGGAGAGAAAACACCCAAAGCCAGGAGAGGGUUGCGUGCACACACUCACAAAAUCCAAGGGGCCCCGGGCAGAGCACCAAUGCUGUCUGAUACAAUCAUUGGCGAAAAGAGCAAGGGAAGAAUGGCCUGCACAGAUGUACAACCGGGGCCAAAUAAAGGUUGGAGAACACAAUAGUGUUUGCUUGUCGCUGGAGCGCACAGCGAAUCUGGCUUUGGCGGUUGCCUCUGGGGAGGCCCCAGGAAGCGGGGGUGGGGGUGGGACAGGCCAAGUGACUUACUUUUGCUUACCAUCCUUCUGUACUUUUAAAAAAAUUUUCCACUGUACAAGGUUUACCCACUCAAAAAAAUAAAAUUACUGUAAAAACUAAUCUUGCCACCUUUGUGGGUGAGAAAACUUAACACUGUUAAGAUGGCAACACUCUGCGAGUUGAUCUGCAGAAUCUACGCAAUUUCUAUCAAAAUCCCAGCUCCCUUCUUCGCAGAAAUUGACAAGCUGAUCCUAAAAUUUACAUGGAAAUUGAAGGGAUCCAGAAUAGCGAAAACAA
rnacentral:lncRNA from 1 species